GUUGGGGUACCUGAAAGAAAUAGCAGAGUUCCUGGACAUACCUGCCACAAAUCCCCAGCGAUUUGUCUCCCAUCGUUGGUUGUCAGCUUAUGAGGACCUGUACAGAGACCAUGGUGUGAGUGAAAAGGCUCAAUGAAGGGUUGAAUUUAUUCACCAGGAUCUCUGCCAGAAGGAUAAUCAUGGAUUUUAUUGGGAAGGUGACCAAGGCAUACACAGCUUGUGGCAAGUACAUGCAGAACAAGCAUGUACUUUAACAUGUACUGUAACCUCUCAAAAGUAAGACCCUACAGGCCUUGUCCUCUAUUGAUCCUGUGGUGAGGGGCCAAUCCCAGGCUGUUACUCAGAUGAAGGAGUUGGCUAGGAUCAUUAAACCUUAAGUGCCCCUAGAGAGUGACAUCACCCAGGAGAUCAUUAGGUACAAUGUGGACCCCAACCUGGCCAAGUAUGAAGAUGGAGAUGACAUUGUGAAGUGGUGGACCCAUGUCAUGAGUUUGGGGAAGUAUCCAGCUCUCAGCCAGGUUAUCAGAGGGGCCCUUUCCAUCUUCCAUGGACCACUGGUAGAGUCCUCCUUUAGUCUCAUGGGAGAUGUGAUUGAUGCUAAAAUAUCUAGCAUGAAGAUCUCCACCUUUGAUGCAGUGCAGACUGUCAAAUAUGUGCUGAGGUCAAGGGGCAAGACUGGCAUUGGCAUGUUCAAAAGAGAUGACAUCAAACUGGGGCCAGUUGAUAAAACUCUCUGCCAGAACAUUAGGGUUGCAGGGAGAAGGGACAAGACCGACAGAGAGAAGAGGAUGGAGGCAAAGCAGAAGAGGCAGGUGGAGUAUGGCUGCAGUGCUACAUGUGAAAGUGCAGAGAAGGCCAAGACCACUGCUCUGGCCGAAGAGAGGCAGACACGUCUCAAACAUGUUGAUAAGAAAAUUAAUGCAGCCGCAAGGCCCUGGAUACGUUGCAGGAGGUGGCCAGGAAGAAGAGGAAGUUGGAGUAAAGCAAGGAGAUAGUUCAAUGAGAGUUUAUG